AUCCUUCUGUGGUUCCUAAGUGUGAUGAUAGGGUUUCAUGUUAUUGUGAAAUGUGCUUCUCUCAAGCUUUGUUUUGUUAUCAGCACAUCAUCUGUCUGAUG